AGUUAUUUCUAUAGUCUCAUAUCAAUUCGGAUCACAACAAAAAUAACUGAGAGUUAAAAAAGGUUUACAAUAAAUACUUAUUUACUAAUUUCAAUUUAAAAACUUUUACCCUAUGGAAUUCACCCGCCACAUUAUGUAUGUAUGUGCCUGUUCCAAGUUAGGAGCCUGUAGUUCAGUGGUUGUCGUUUGUUUAUGUGUUACAUUUAAGUUUUUUGUUCAUUUUUUUUUCAUAUAAAUAAGGCCGUUAGUUUUCUCGUUUGAAUUGUUUUACAUGGUCAUUUUGGGGCCUGACUAUGCAAUAUGGGCUUUUCUCAUUUUUGAAGGCCGUGCGAUGACCUAUAGUCGUUAAUUUCCGUGUCAUUAUGGUCUCUUGUGGUGAACUGUCUCAUUGGCA
rnacentral:lncRNA from 1 species